rnacentral:lncRNA from 1 species
AAGGCCAGCCCUCACUCUACUAGGGAGAACAGCCAGUAAAGUUAAAACAUGUUCAUUUUUAGUUAAGAAAAUAACAGAUGCCAAGAUAAAUGGAGCAUAGCAAUAGUAUGUAACCUUUGACAUACAUAGUAAACACAGCGCUUCCAAAAUAUAGCCUCUUGGCAACGUUUUACCUUAAGAAAUUUAAUUUGUAGUUCCAAAUCUAGGCUAUUUUUAAAGGAUUCAAAUGAACUUACAUUCAAAAGUAAAGGAAUGGGGAAGUUUCCUGGGUAAACAUGAUAAAUGUAGAAAAUCUAUUCCUGGUGAAUAAUAGGUAGUGGCAGAAAAUGCCACAAAAAGAAAAGUGUUAGAGCUGUCAAGUCUGCAACUGCAGAGGGGAAAAUAAAAACUUCUUACUGUCUAACCAUCAGUGAGUAUGUGGAAGCCAGGAGAAAUCUGGCUCCUCUUCCAGCUGGAAUAUAAGUGAAAUUAAAGGAAUUAGAAGGCACAGGUUACUGCUCACCAAUAGACUUGCAUGCAGUACCAAUCAUGUAAGAAAAUGUAUAAUUGCUCCUACUGGGACACAAAAUCAUUCUAACCAAUAUGUUCCUGCUCUCAGAUAUGUGAAUUAUGAAGAAAUAUUGAAGAAGUUAGGCUAGCUCUCAUGGGAAAUAGAAUGGUAGUCACUUAAUUGAAGUUUUAAACCCAGCAGGAAUCAACAAAAUUUUUCCAGAUGAACUUCUUAUAUUUGUAAAAUGGAAAACCAGAGGAAAUGCUACCAAGAUAUUCAUUCAAGAUUAACCAGUUUAUAAAUCAAAGGAAGCACAUCAUAUUAUUGCCACAGGACCCUUUCUUUUACUAAAUGUAUUUCUUAAUUUUUAUUAUGCCUCUUUCCUAACAGAUUUGAAAUCAUUUGCUAAGUUACCAUAUAAUUAGGGAAUCACCUGAGACAGUUUGAAGUGAAUACAUUGCAGUGGAUGUUACACGUCACCGAGAAUGAGCUGUUACAGUUGGGCUCUAAAUUCGAUGUGUAGCUUCAUGGCACUAGACUGUGGGCACCUUGAUUGCAGAACUAAGAUAACAUUCUUUUUUGCAUCCCCACUGCCACAUGACCUGAACUGAAAAUAUCUGAGUUAAUGAAUGAAAUUAAAUAAAAAAUAAGGUAUGAUAAAUUUUAUUUAUUUUUAAAAAUCUUUUUGGCAGCACCUGUGUCAUGUGGGAGUUCCCAGGCCAGGGAUCUAACCUGCACCAUAGCAGUGACCUGAGCCACAGCAGUGAGAAUGCCAGAUCCUUAACACUCUGUACCACCUGGAAACUCUGAUAAAUUUUAUUUUAGAAUUUUAAAGUAAUGCUUGUUCAAUAGAUAUUGAGCAUAUAUUUGUGUGAGACAUUCAGUAUUGAGCAAGGCAAGAUUCCUUUCCUCAGUGAGCUCAUGGCUUGGUGAGUCAGAGUUAAGAUAAUCUCCAUACGUUGUAAGGAGUUCUAAGAGAGAGCAGUUUCCAAUGCUACAUACACACAUAAAACAGAACCUAACCAAGAGUGGAGACCUAGCAAAAAAGCUUCUUGAUACAUUUUGUGUGACAAAUAAGUAAAAAUUACCAAAUUGUAAAUAACAUCCUGAUUAGACAGAUGAAUACAUUCAUUUACAAAAGCAUUUCUUUACAGAAGCUUAUUUUAUGAGUGUUUCUACAUUUAAAAAAUGACAAAAUGUUUUCCUAGUUUUUAAAUUAUGUAAAAUAAAUAAUUUUAAUUCACCUUUCUCUAUUGAAUUCAUAACAGUAAAAAGAUUUGGGACCAUAGUAAAGUUAGCUCUAAUUCAAGACAUAGAUAGGAGUUCUGCUGUAGCACAGCAGGUUAAGGAUCUGGCAUUGUCUCUGCAGCAGCUUAGGUUGCUGCUGAGGCAUGGGUUCCAUCCCUGGCUUGGUGCAGAGGGUUAAGGAUCCAGUUUUGCUACAGCUGUGGCAUAGAUUACAGUUGAAGUUUGGAUUCAAUCCAUGGCCCAAGAAAUUCCGUGUGCCAUGAGCAGGGCCAAAAUAAAAAUAAAAAAGACAUAGAUAUACACUGAAUUUGUAAAGCAAUAAGUACAUGUAAAUAAAAUUAUCUUGAGAGUGUGUUAAAUCAUCUGAACUGAAUGCAUGGCCAUACUCCUGCCUCACUUAAUUAACAAUGUGGGUUUCUUAAGAAAUCCAACCCAGUCCUGUUUUUCUCCCAUGUGUAAACAGAUACAUUUGUCUGAGUUUGACCAUGAGAUGAUGCUACUGACUUGGGCUUACAAUCAUAUUUAAUAGAAAAUAGCUUUUCCUAACUUUCCUUAAUCAAAAGAAGUGUCUCGGUAAUGUGCGAAACUCAUUCUGUGAAAGUUAUAGAGAUACUAAAACAUCUGGAGGCAGAGCAGUGGUAUCUUCUACCACAGGCUCACUCUAAGCUAGAAUCUCCUUGAGUAGAAACAGAAGGAAUUGCAAUUCUUUCCCUACUAUUUAAAUCUUUCUCUCUCCCUCAUCUCCUCCUCCCUCCCUCCACCCCUUCCCUCUGUUGCUGUACCUCUAUAUGUGUGUGAUAUAGUAGCUUUUAUUGCUGAGGAACAAAUUUCCACACACUUUGUGAUUUAUAACAGCUCCCAUUUGUUAUUUCAUGGCUGUGUAGAUCAGAAGCUCAGACAGCUCAUUGCUGAAUUCUCUGCUCAGGGUCCCAUAAAUCCAAAAUCAGAGUGUGGCAGGGGCAGCAUGUUCUCUUGGAACUUGGAGUCUUCUUCCAGGCACAUGUGGUUUGGCAGAAUUCAACUGCUUGCAGAAAUUUUUAAAUACAUUAUUCUAAUGAGUUACAUUAAAAUGCUGUACAAAUAGAAAAAAAUUUAAAGUGAAUUUCUGUGUUUUACUUCUUCCCUCUAGCCUAUUUCCUUGAUGAAGUGCAACAUUCUUAUCUGUUUAUACAAGACAAAUAUAAAGAGUGACUUAAUGACUUGUAAAAGUCAGAAAUAGAGUUAUCUUUGAAAGUCUGUGGAGGGGGAGGGGGUGGGCAGAAAGUUGCAAAUGUCAAGAAACCACAGUGUCCCCUAAUAGGAAUCUAAAGACAUUGUAUGGUAGCCACCCAUAUAUGAAAUUGGAGCUUCCAUAUGAAAUUGGGGUUCAAUAUGUUGUUGAUAAGUUCAUAAGGGAAUACUUUGUUAAUCACAGAGGAAUCUAAAGGAAAGAACAGUUGUUGUCUAAGGUGAAGAUACGGAAUAGAAACCAUGAACAUGAGGGAUGGGAUUUUGGAUUAAGGAUCUGGCUUACUGCAAGCUGCAGCCUAGGCCCUAGCUCAGAUCCAGUGUUGCCAUGC